rnacentral:lncRNA from 1 species
UUAGCAAGGAUAUCACUUCUAUAAAAGCAUUUGAUCGCAGUAUGGCCCUUCUUACUACAAAUUUGGCACUUAGGUGAUGCACCAGAAGAUGGCUUGGGACCAUUGUUAUUCCAUGUAUUAUUGCCCUUAUCACCACUAUAAUUGCUUGAGGAGCUGCCCUUGUAGUUGGAGGUUUUGGCAGCCAUUGCAGACAUAGAACCAUGAGGCAACAUUUGAGUCUCAAUGUCUCUUUCAGUAGGCAGGAGUUGAGCUCUGAAAUCUUUCAGAGAGAUGGGAGAAUCACGAGCCCUGAUAACUGUCUUAAUCAUUGCAUACUCAUCAGGUAGGCUAUUAAGAGUGACAACAACAAUGUUUUCAUCCACAAGAGACAAUCCCACAUAGCUAAGUUGAUCUCUAGCAUGCUUAAUGCGCAACAAAUACUUGUCAAUAGUGUCAGUUCCUUUCUUAAUAGUUUGCAAAUCAGUCUUGAGUUGAAUAAUGUUGGCCCUGGAAACAGUUAAGAACCUUUCAAGUAGUGAAACUCAUGCCUCAUGAGAAGUGGUACUUCCAACAAUGAUAUCCAGUAUAUCAUCAUCAAGAGUGGCCAUUAACAAGCCAAGA